UACGUAGGGGCCUAGCGUUGUCCGGAUUUAUUGGGCGUAAAGAGCUCGUAGGCGGUUUGGUGAGUCGGGUGUGAAAUCUCCACGCUCAACGUGGAGGGGCCACCCGAUACUGCCAUGACUAGAGUCCGGUAGGGGAGUGUGGAAUUCCCGGUGUAGCGGUGAAAUGCGCAGAUAUCUGGAGGAACACCGGUGGCGAAGGCGGCAGCCUGGACCGGCAUUGACGCUGAGGCGCGAAAGCCAGGGGAGCAAACGGG
rnacentral:rRNA from 1 species